rnacentral:rRNA from 1 species
CAGAGAACUACGAGUGAAAAACUUAAAACUCAAAGGACUUGGCGGUGCUCCAUAAUCAACCUAGAGGAGCCUGUCCUAUAAUCGAUAAUCCACGAUAUACCCAACCGCUUUUAGCAAAAAUCAGCCUAUAUACCGCCAUCGCCAGUUUAUCUUCUAAAAGACAAAAAAUAAACACAAAAGUUUUACCACUAAUACGUUAGGUCAAGGUGUAGCAUAUAAGCCGGAAGAGAUGGGCUACAUUUUCUAUUCAAGAAGAUACGAAAAACAUAAUGAAAUUAAUGUUUAAAGGCGGAUUUAGUAGUAAA